GCGUAGGAAUCUACCUUUUGGAGGGGGAUAGCCCGGAGAAAUCCGGAUUAAUACCGCAUAAGUUCUUAGGAAGAAAUGGGGGCCUCUACUUGUAAGCUCUCGCCAGAAGAUGAGCCUGCGUUGGAUUAGCUAGUUGGUAGGGUAAAGGCCUACCAAGGCGACGAUCUAUAGCUGGUCUGAGAGGAUGAUCAGCCACACUGGGACUGAGACACGGCCCAGACUCCUACGGGAGGCAGCAGUGGGGAAUAUUGGACAAUGGGCGCAAGCCUGAUCCAGCCAUGCCGCGUGUGUGAAGAAGGC
rnacentral:rRNA from 1 species